GACGAACUGUCCUAACGUUGUUCGGAAUCACUGGGCUUAAAGGGCGCGUAGGCGGUCCGACAAGUCAGGGGUGAAAUCCUGCAGCUUAACUGCAGAGGUGCCUUUGAUACUGUCGGUCUUGAGGGAGAUAGGGGUGUGCGGAACUCACAGUGGAGCGGUGAAAUGCGUUGAUAUUGUGAGGAACGCCGGAGGCGAAAGCGGCGCACUGGAUCUCUUCUGACGCUGAGGCGCGAAAGCUAGGGGAGCAAACGGG
rnacentral:rRNA from 1 species